AUUGAACGCUGGCGGCAGGCCUAACACAUGCAAGUCGAGCGGGGUUUUUCGGACCUAGCGGCGGACGGGUGAGUAAUGCGUAGGAAGCUACCCGACAGAGGGGGAUACCAGUUGGAAACGACUGUUAAUACCGCAUAAUGUCUACGGACCAAAGUGUGGGACCUUCGGGCCACAUGCUGUCGGAUGCGCCUACGUGGGAUUAGCUAGUUGGUGAGGUAAUGGCUCACCAAGGCGACGAUCCCUAGCUGGUUUGAGAGGAUGAUCAGCCACACUGGAACUGAGACACGGUCCAGACUCCUACGGGAGGCAGCAGUGGGGAAUAUUGGACAAUGGCGGCAAGCCUGAUCCAGCCAUGCCGCGUGUGUGAAGAAGGCCUC
rnacentral:rRNA from 1 species